ACACAUGCAAGUCGAACGGUAACAUUUCUAGCUUGCUAGAAGAUGACGAGUGGCGGACGGGUGAGUAAUGCUUGGGAACUUGCCUUUGCGAGGGGGAUAACAGUUGGAAACGACUGCUAAUACCGCAUAAUGUCUACGGACCAAACGGGGCUUCGGCUCCGGCGCAAAGAGAGGCCCAAGUGAGAUUAGCUAGUUGGUAAGGUAACGGCUUACCAAGGCGACGAUCUCUAGCUGUUCUGAGAGGAAGAUCAGCCACACUGGGACUGAGACACGGCCCAGACUCCUACGGGAGGCAGCAGUGGGGAAUAUUGCACAAUGGGGGAAACCCUGAUGCAGCCAUGCCGCGUGUGUGAAGAAGGCCUUCGGGUUGUAAGCACUUUCAGUUGUGAGGAAAAGUUAGUAGUUAUCCUGCUACCGUGACGUUACAACAGAAGAAGCCCGGCUACUCCGUGCCAGCAGCCGCGUACACGGAGGGUGCGAGCGUUAUCGAAUUACUGGCCUAA
rnacentral:rRNA from 1 species